ensembl:lncRNA
ACAUGAGGGCUCAAAGCGCUUUUGUUAUUAUAUGGACUGCGAUGGUUCUGCAUUCGUCUGUCAUCAAAGGUCAGACCAUGGACUCAUCCCCAACCAUGAGAUCCCCUCUGAAUAAAGUCAGACUGAAAGAUCGCAUUAAUUCAGAAAGUGACAUUUUGGAAUCACAAGCCAGUACAGCCUAUCAAAGCGUCUCCUCUCCUUCAACAAAUUUCUCAGCUGACGAGGUCACACCUACUGUUCCUUCUCCAUCACAGUCAUCCAGAGAUGCUGUAGUGCACGAUGACACCUCUCUUUCAUCAGCCAUCUCACAGACCCCGGAGCUACAAGAUGUCACCACCCUCAACACGGACACAGCCUCAGUACCAGUUUCUUCUGCUAGCAGCCCAUCAAUUUCUUUUUUGAAGAGCACCGUUUCAAAUUCAGUAGCCACAACAGCUCCUGCAACAUCCAUCAGUCCAAGUGAAGGACCUCAGACUGUCUCUUCUUCAGCCAGUGGUGCGAUCCAGACGACACAAACAGCUCCACCAUUUACCACCACUUACCCUCAGACAUCUCAGAUCUCCCUGACCAGCAGUUCAAAGGUCACUGGACCUGCUCCUUUGGAAGACCAGGAUGAAUCUUCUGAACUGGAUGUGGGGGAUCAAGAGUCAGGGAAGGUUCCCCACCGCCCAACAUUGCCCCUGGACCCCCUGCUCGCCGCUCUGGUCACCAUUUUCAUUAUUUGCACUGCCAUGGUCUCAGCCGUCCUCUUCCUCAGGUUCCGUCAGCGGAGUGAGCAUCCAGAAUUCCACCGGCUUCAAGACCUUCCUAUGGAUGAUCUUCUAGAAGACACGCCUUUGUCAAGAUGCACCUAUUAGCAAUCAGGGCUGCACGAUUAAUCAAAAUAAAAAAAUAAAUAAAAAAAUCA